GGUGAGGUGUCCGAGAGGCUGAAGGAGCACGCCUGGAAAGUGUGUAUACGGCAACGUAUCGAGGGUUCGAAUCCCUCCCUCAUGA
rnacentral:tRNA from 1 species